AGCAUCCACAUCCGGAGCACGGGAGACUUGGGCUUCCAACUUGCCAUGUAGGCUAACGCAAAGCAGCCUGGCCCUCGCCGGAACUGCUGCUCUGCCGUCGGAGAGGCUGGGGACUGCGGGGGCUGCCAAGCGCCGUGUCCUCUCGCCAUGUGUUACAGGUCUUCUCCAGCCUUGCCGUCAUUCAGUCCACUGCGGCCAGUCUUACGUGUCCUGCACAACAGGGGUCUGACGCCACGUGUGACAAGAGGGGCUGCUAUACUGGCUGAUCUUCAAGCGCCGUCUCAGUGGAGCUGAUACUCAACUCAUAGGAGCAGCAGAUGGAAAAGAAAAUAGCCCCAAAGGAGGAGAGAUUUCUGAACAGAUUCGCAAAGAAAGAAAACAAGUAGAGAGCUGGGGAAAUGCUGAUCCUUCUCGCUGCGGUUGGAAAACAACAGCAGUUAAUGAGCCAAAGAGAAAAAAACUGGGCUGAGCUGACAGGGAAAAAAAAUUUGAAAAACCCAAACAAAAUCUUUUAAAAAGAACAGCAGUGAAAUGAAACAGCACAGCACAAUCCAGAAGCGCUGAUUACAUCCCAGAGGACCACUGGAUCCCAGCCGUCUCAACAGUAAUGGCAAAACACGCCAGGUGGGUAUUACUCUGACAAAUUCAGGUCGGUUUCUGUCUGCCUCCUCCCAAGUACAGAAGAUCCACAAGGUGAGGAUUGGUCUGACUUCCCCACAUCUGCAUGGGGGGAAAGCUGGCACUUUCCCUAGGGUGGUAUGCAGUAGUUGUUCAGAAUAUAUUUAUGGAAAGAAAGCAUGAAUGAAUGAGCACGUGGACUACCAACUCCCAAAGUUGAAUACCUAUGACAUGGUGGAGACGGGAUUAGAAUCAGGCUGUUAUCUUUCUUGCUGGGCCGUCCCUGCAGGCGGGACUGGCUUUUGGGUAGCUAGCACCAACUUACCAAGUAAUAUAUUUGGUUCAUACACUGGGUUGGAAAAAAACACAACUCAGGCCCUCAGCUGUGAAGGAAGCUCUGCCAGCUAUGCAGGUGAGGUGGCUGGCUGAGCAGCACAGGACGAGGGGCAGCAAGUAAGGCUCUUGCCUUCAUUAGGUUCAGUGUGAGGACAAGGAUGGACUGCCAACAGCCCGUUGCAUGUGCCUCCUGUACACCCGCUGGGGCUUCCUUAGAAAAGAGCACGGUGCCAUUCAUUGCACAUUACUCCAAAAUGUGAAAAAGGACAGCUCUCUCCCCAAGGAGAACACAGUGCUCAGGCAGAGAAGGGCCCAGGUAAUUUGCUGCUCUCCCAGAGGGCUUUUCCUGUCUGUUUGGAAAAUACGAAUAAAAUCCAAUGAGCAGGUGUAAAUAAGGCACAUGCAGUCUCCGUUGAAGGUAUAUUGUGAUCAUUUUUUCCAUCUGGGCACCUUUGUCCCCCUCCAUCCAAGGCAUGGAGGUUAAAGGGCUUUAAGCUAGACUGGAUUUGAAUGCAGACAGUGUUUAAGCAAAGCCCGGAGGACAGCAGCAGUGACCCGGCUGAACAAAAGUGAGAGGGAAUUACUGUUGCCUGUACUAUGGACAGAGAUGGCUUCUCUGCAGCCUGGUGAGGUUACAGGUAAGGGGCUGGAACCCAUUAGGAUUUGCUUAUGGGGCAGUUAGACUCCCAGGUAGUGGUACUUGGGGGAGAGGGGCUGCUUCCUAACUGAAUAUGUGUCAGUAGUCUGGCUCUGCCUGCCCCUGGGCCCCAUCCUCCCUCUGACAAAGACAAGGGCUAUUAAAGAGCUGCUGAGGAAUUUUCAAAAUAGUUAAUGGUUUUGAAAAAGGAGACAUAGAAGCUAGGAAAUCCAAACUUCUUUGAAAAGUGCCCCCAAAGUCCACAAUGGGUAUUCCACACUGGUGUAUGCUUAUUGAUAACUUUGGGGGCUGAAUGACACUCUAAGAAACCCUUUUAAAAAUUACAUAGAAACAAAUAAGGAAACAACUGGAGGUAUAAAAAAUAUCUCCAAGAUGAGAGAUGACAUAAAAAAUGGAGGUGAGGAAAGAGGACAGAAAUUCCUAUUCAAAGCAAUAGUGUUACAGAGUAUAAUAGAGUGACGGACCUUGAGCAAGUGUGAGCGAGUGACUCUCUGUGUUAGAAAUCCUAACUGAAGACACUUUGAACACCCAACUGGGGAUGUCUGAAAAUGGCAAAUCUGACACAUAGCAUCAUAGGUUAUCUGUAAACCUCUGCGAGGGAACCAAUUACUGGUAUACCCUUGUCAUGCAUGAAAUCUUUCAGCUAAAGAACCAAAUGAAAAAAGUAUACACCCCCAAACCCUGGCACAUGGACCCAUCUCCCUCUCCCACCUUAGCCUCACCAGUGCUUAUGUCAGGGCUCUGAUAGAGGCUAAUAUGAAAACAAUCCAAAUUUGAUUUAACCAUUAGUGCCUCCAAAGAUAAUUAAAGAAUUGGGCCAGACUCAGGUCCUCUUUGGGAGCAGGCUGGGAGGCCUUUCAGAAAUGAAGACUUGGUGCUACUGGUCUUUUCAAACAAACCACCUUCAGCCCUCCUAGGUGCUGUUAUGAAUAAUUACUUAAUCAGAGCAGCACUGGAUUCAUGCAUCAGAGUGUCUGCAAUUAGCUCCUGUAAAAGGUCCAGCUGAGCCUCCUUUAGGGUAAAGAGUUCUAGCAGACACAAGGAUCCCUUUCUGAACUGCCUUGCUUUGGCUCUAGUCUUUUCCCUCCACCAUGGCAUUUUCAGGCUGCUGGUGGCCUGCAGCACACGGUUCCCAGCAUGGGACAGUAGGCUCCUCUUCCCCUACAGAGACCAGAUCCCUCCUGUCAUUCCAUAUCGAGCACACAGCAGUGCCCCAGUGCUGGAGAAAUGUUCAGGAACAUGGAGGAGAGGACACUGC